rnacentral:rRNA from 1 species
UACGUAGGGACCGAGCGUUGUCCGGAUUCAUUGGGCGUAAAGAGCUCGUAGGCGGUUUGUCGCGUCGACUGUGAAAACCCGAGGCUUAACCUCGGGCCUGCAGUCGAUACGGGCAGACUAGAGUUCGGUAGGGGAGACUGGAAUUCCUGGUGUAGCGGUGAAAUGCGCAGAUAUCAGGAGGAACACCGGUGGCGAAGGCGGGUCUCUGGGCCGAUACUGACGCUGAGGCGCGAAAGCUAGGGGAGCGAACGGG